rnacentral:rRNA from 1 species
UGCACCUACGGGAGGCAGCAGUGGGGGAUAUUGCACAAUGGGCGCAAGCCUGAUGCAGCGACGCCGCGUGAGCGAAGAAGUAUUUCGGUAUGUAAAGCUCUAUCAGCAGGGAAGAAAAUGACGGUACCUGACUAAGAAGCUCCGGCUAAAUACGUGCCAGCAGCCGCGGUAAUACGUAUGGAGCAAGCGUUAUCCGGAUUUACUGGGUGUAAAGGGAGCGUAGGCGGCAUGGUAAGUCUGAAGUGAAAGGUACGGGCUCAACCUGUACAGGCUUUGGAAACUGCCACGCUCGAGGACAGGAGAGG